CACGUAGGGGGCAAGCGUUGUCCGGAUUUAUUGGGCGUAAAGAGCUCGUAGGCGGUUCGGUAAGUCGGGUGUGAAACCUCCAGGCUCAACCCUGGAGACGCCACCCGAUACUGCUGUGACUAGAGUCCGGUAGGGGAGCGUGGAAUUCCUGGUGUAGCGGUGAAAUGCGCAGAUAUCAGGAGGAACACCAGCGGCGAAGGCGGCGCUCUGGGCCGGAACUGCGCUGAGGAGCGAAAGCGUGGGGAGCAAACAGG
rnacentral:rRNA from 1 species